CAUUUUUAGUGCCCUAUACGAAACUUUGUUCACGGUGUACUCAUUACUUUGAAAGGCACAGGCAUUAUGAAGAUUUUAUUAAUAUUAAUAACUUUUGUUUUUGUAAUUUCAAUGGUUUCGGGUGACUGGCAACGCGCCCUCAAAGUGACGGCCACGCAAGUUAAAGCAACAUGUGAAAGAGUCAAUCAAAAUUUAUCGUCAUUGAGAGCGAUACUACAAUUCCAAGAUCGCAAUAAAGCCAAACUGGAUUUAAGCUGUUAGUAAAUCGAGUAACGCCAUAAGGAGAUUUGUAAAGUAUGCAAUUUUAUUUUCUUGACACAGAAAAUAACGACAACAACAAGCAUUACAUUAAAUAAAUUAAUUUGCGCUUCUA